rnacentral:rRNA from 1 species
UGUUAAAGACUAAGCCAUGCAUGUGUAAGUAUAAAGUCCAGGAAGGAUGAAACUGCGGACGGCUCAUUACAACAGUUAUAGUUACUUUGGUUAAUGCGAAAAGGAUAACUCUGUUAAUUGUAGAGCUAAUACUUGCGACAAUCCGCCCAGCGGUAACUGCCUCGGCAGUUUCAAUUGCCCCCUACUGAACGAAGGGGCGAGGACAAUUGUAGGAGCCCGCGGCUCUAACAAGUAACCAAUGUGAAUUUCUGACCUAUCAACUUGUUGGUAGGGUAGUGGCCUACCAAGGUAGUAACGGGUAACGAGAAAUAAGGGUUUGAAAUCGGAGAGGGAGCAUUAAAGACGGCUACCACUUCCAAGGAAGGCAGCAGGCGCGAAAAUUACCCACUUGAGGAUCUCAGAGGUAGUGACGACAAAUACCCAACGCGGGCCACUGGUUCGCACUUGGGGAUGAGGCGGAGACAAAGCUUCCGCCGAACGCGAUUGGAGGGCAAGUCUGGUGCCAGCAGCCGCGGUAAUUCCAGCUCCAAUAGUGUAUAUUAAAGUUGUUGUGAUUAAAAAGCUCGUAGUUGAAGCCUACCGAGGGUGAUAUUUCGGGAGCCUGUGGAUCACCGGCACCUGGAGUAUUAGAUCCUCCCCAUGCAGCUGUGUGAACCUUUCGGGGCCACAUAGCUCUCAGUACUUUGACCAAAAGUGCGUGCUCAGAGCAAAGCUUAGGCUAAUGGAACUUGAAGCAUGGGAUACUGCGAGGGGACUUAAAGCGAAUCAGCGGGCGACUGUUGAGGAGGGUUAAGUUUCGAGAGGAAGGUUAAGAGGAAGGGAUGGGGCCAUUCGUACGGGGUGAUUAGGGGUAAAAUCUCAUGACCCACCCAGGACGGACGACGGCGAAAGCAUUUGGCUCAGACCUGUCCAUUAAUCAAGAACGACAGUUAGGGGAUCGAAGACGAUUAGAUACCGUCGUAGUCCUAACCAUAAACGAUGUCAACCGAGGAUUGGAUUGAACUUUAGUCAGGCGUAAUCCCCGGAUUGCGCCCGACGAUAUACUUCUGUCCGGGACUCGAAGGGAAACCUCGAGUGAAUGGACUUCAGGGGGAGUAUGGUCGCAAGAGUGAAACUUAAAGGAAUUGACGGAAGGGCACACCAGGAGUGGAGCCUGCGGCUUAAUUUGACUCAACACGGGACAACUUACCAAGACCAAACAUUAAGAGGAGUGACAGACUAAGGGAUUUUUCAUGAUUUGAUGGGGAGUGGUGCAUGGCCGUUCUUAGUUGGUGGAGUGAUUUGUCAGGUUAAUUCCGAUAACGAACGAGACUUUGAUCUUUAAUUAGGUGUGCGAGCAACCGUUUGCACAGCGCAAGCCCAGUGGCCUACUUAAAGAGACAUGCCCCAAUUGUCCGUUAGCCCAGCCCCUCGGGGUAAUGGAGCUGGCGGAAGAAGGGGUAGGAAGCGGAGCAAUAACAGGUCUGUGAUGCCCUUAGACAUCUUGGGCUGCACGCGUGCUACAAUAGGCGCCCUAGCGAGUACACUAGUUUCUGCAUAACCAUUACGGUGUCUUACGGGAUGCCAUGGUGGCACUAGCAAAGACGACCGACUCCGAGAGGACGAGGGAAACUCGAAAGGCGUCUGUAACAGGGAUUAACGCUUGGAAUUAUCCGUUAUGAACGAGGAAUUCCUUGUAAAAUUGCGUCACUAUCGCAAGUUGAAUACGUCCCUGCCCUUUGUACACACCGCCCGUCGCUCCUACCGAUUGAGCGGAUAGAUGAAGGUCUAGGAGGAACCAAUCGGGCCGAAUGGAUCUAAAUCUCUUCGCUUAGAGG